rnacentral:rRNA from 1 species
GUAGUCCACGCCGUAAACGAUGUCGACUUGGAGGUUGUGCCCUUGAGGCGUGGCUUCCGGAGCUAACGCGUUAAGUCGACCGCCUGGGGAGUACGGCCGCAAGGUUAAAACUCAAAUGAAUUGACGGGGGCCCGCACAAGCGGUGGAGCAUGUGGUUUAAUUCGAUGCAACGCGAAGAACCUUACCUACUCUUGACAUCCAGAGAACUUAGCAGAGAUGCUUUGGUGCCUUCGGGAACUCUGAGACAGGUGCUGCAUGGCUGUCGUCAGCUCGUGUUGUGAAAUGUUGGGUUAAGUCCCGCAACGAGCGCAACCCUUAUCCUUUGUUGCCAGCGGUUAGGCCGGGAACUCAAAGGAGACUGCCAGUGAUAAACUGGAGGAAGGUGGGGAUGACGUCAAGUCAUCAUGGCCCUUACGAGUAGGGCUACACACGUGCUACAAUGGCAUAUACAAAGAGAAGCGACCUCGCGAGAGCAAGCGGACCUCAUAAAGUAUGUCGUAGUCCGGAUUGGAGUCUGCAACUCGACUCCAUGAAGUCGGAAUCGCUAGUAAUCGUGGAUCAGAAUGCCACGGUGAAUACGUUCCCGGGCCUUGUACACACCGCCCGUCACACCAUGGGAGUGGGUUGCAAAAGAAGUAGGUAGCUUAACCUUCGGGAGGG